AAGGCUUCCUGCCAAAGGCUAAAACUGCCAAAUCCUCAUCCUUGUCUGGAAACACAGGCGGUAGUAGGUUAUAUUCCUUGUGAAGUUAUCCACCUGGCUACCCUCUGUUCCCAGUCUCACAACAGCACUGCUUUAAUGGCUGAUGCGUUCUGUCACACUUUUUUUGUGGACAAAGAGCACCUUUUCUGUAGAGAAGGACCAGAGAAGAAGAUGGAAAGACCUGGGAGUCCUGCACCUGGUACUGAGGUGAGAAGACAUUGCCAGGAGAAGGAAUAUGGAUAACAUAGAUGCCAAAACCUCCAUGUCAGAGCAGCAAGAUCUAUCCGUGAUAUUUGCAGUCACGUAAUUGCUUUUGCUGUUUUUCUGUAUUUUACAUUACAAAGGAGGUUCAAAAUAUAUCUGAAGUAGAAGUAUGUGCCAAACAUACAGCAGAAAAAUUCACUGAAAGAAAUAGAAAUAGAAAAAAACACGCAAACCACAGCAUGGGGCAAUCUUCCCAAGUAACAGCAGAAUCUAAUCAGGGUUGCCUAAUUUUUUUCCCACUCAAAACAAACGCUUUCAAAUUAGAAGGGUUUAAGACUGUAGGAAGGACAGACUAUUCACACCCCACCUCCUUAUUUUAAUAUUAUCUUUUUUUACACAACUUUGGAAACCUAGCAUGCUGACCUUGGUUAAUUCCUGUGAAUCAUACAAGCCUUAAUUGGUUUUGGAAGGGUCUCCAGAUCUCUCUAGAAAAGGUUAAGCAUUAUUUAUUUGCCUUCAUUACUAUCCAAACCUAUGUGAUUUCUGAACAGGUUUGACAUUCAAACUAAUUAAGGAUAAGCAAAAGAGGAAAAAAGCCUUUAUAUGAGUUCUAAACAAAAAUUUACAAAAGAAAGAAAUGUAAAGCAGUAAUGGCAAAAGCCAUAUAUUAUAUAACACCCCUGCACCAUUCUUCUUUAGUAUAGAAGAGCUGCAGAAUGCCUCUUGCUAGUUCCUGUGUUUAUGAGAUCCAAUCUGAAAGAGGGUAAGAGUUGUGUCGGUUCUUUUCUAGCUUUAAGGCACAUGGUAACCGUAUCGUUGUCAUUAUUUUCAAAAAUAAUAGAUGAGUUUUGAUUUUGUUUCAUUUACAAGAUGUCAUUCAUAUAUGAAAUAUUCUGAAAGUACAGCUCUUUCCCUACCAAAGUGUGAGAACUAGGUUCCUGCAUGGUGAUCUCCCUGCAGUCAUGGCCUCCUCAACCCCUCCGCUUGCUGCAAAGGUAGGACCCAUGAAUAUGCAUGUCGAUGAAAUGCAAUCAAUUAUUUUGCAGUAUGUUUGUUGCACUCAGGUCAAUUUGAUUUGAGGAAUUAGAUUAAGAUUCCCAUAGGUUUUUCAUACUGUGAAUUUAGAAGGAUACUUACGGAUUUCUAAACACAUUUGUCAGCUAGACAAUAAGCCUGCUGGCAGAUGGGAGUUAGCCCGAGGUUUGCAUCCCACAUAACAUUUCUUUUUUUCUCUCCUUGAAGAGAAAAAUGCCUCUCUGCUGUCCCUAAAUGUUUGGUGUUAUGUGAGAGAGCAAAGGCAGCAAAGUGCCUGUAGAAAAUCCUUGAGCACAUGGCAGUGCUUAGGUCACUAAUAUGUACUAACAACUUGCAACAGUACAGUCCUACAAGAUCUACCUCACAACUGUUGUUAAAUUAAAUGUUAAUUAUGCUUGUGCUAGUUGUGCGUCUGUGCUUUGGAAAAGAGCACUUUUAUCCUGCUUAUCACUUCUCAUGCUGUCAUGUGAUCUGCUAGGUAUCGGCCCCACAUAGCUAUGAACAGAGCAAACAGACACCCACCACAUACCUGCAAGGACUGUGUGAAACAAUGAAGUUACAGAUAUGUCAGAAGUAAAGGCAGUCUUUGUAAAUAGCUGGCACCUAAUUACUUUGCAGCAGAGCUGAGACAAGGCAGUGCCUCUGGUCCCACAAGUAUUGCUAAAGUUUGUUACUGUACCAAUUAAAAUAAAGCGCAGCCAGCAUUAAAAACUGAAACAUUUGCUCUGCGCUUAGAGGAAAGGGGUGUUAUUAGUUGACUGAAGAAGUGUACUGUGAUCCUUUGUAUUUGUUUCCCUCUCAAUUGUUUAUUCUCUGAAAGAUAAUGAAGGAGAACUUCAAUUCUGGAACAUUUUUAACAACCAGCCAAAUCUCCUCAUUGCUUCUAGCUGACCUCAGAUAAGCUAGAUCUUCAACAGGACAUUCCUUUAAGACAAAUGAUCCAAUACACCUUAUUUCCUUGGUACCAGAUCCCUUUUGACUGCUAUAGUUUAUUAUGGUUAGUCCAUUAUAAAUUACAUGAUGUCUCCAGGGACCCAUUCUGAACUUGAAAUAUCACAAGACUGCUAUCGUGCAUAAUGCUGCAAAGAGCAGCUAAAUUUAUAUCCACUAAAAAUGUGCUUUCCAUUGCAGAACAACCCACUUUAAGUAUACUCUGUUAUUUUCUGUUUGUCCAGUUUUAUCUUUCUCAGAAAAUGUUCAUGGAAAAUCUGGGUUUUUUUGUGCUUGGUGUACAGUGUGAUUAUCAUUAUUUUAUAAAACUUGGACAUUCUCUCAAAUUCCCCUAGAGACAAAGCAUGUAAAGGGCAAUUUUGACUGCCAGCCCAUGUAAAUUCUCUCAGACCGUAUAAAAAGACAACAGUGGCAGAUUGGCUCCAGGAGCUUAUGGUUUCUUCUGUUACUAAACAGCACAGCAAAUAGAACAGCUUGUGAAACGAAAGUUGUGCUAACAUAUAGAUAAUGACAGCUUAGUUGUGCAGUUUCAAAGCAUGCCCUAAGAUGUCAUUUUAAAAGUUGCAUUUGUUUAUUUAUUUAUUUAUUUUACUUUGAACUGGAGUACUGUGGCCUGUUUUCACAAAAUGAAAAAACAAAGCAUAACUUUCUGAUUCUGCAUUACUGUUUCACCUUCUGUAGAGGGGAGAAUGGCUUUUAAUGUCCUUGGGAUCCUAUAUUCUAUAAAUCACUAUCUACAAAAAAGUACAUUCAUAGGAAUUCUGCCAUAAUACCUCCUGAGUGUAUAAUAAGAAAAAUAUAUGGCAGGACUAUUAUGUUACUACUUGACAUGGCUUCUUGACAUGGUUAAGUAGUCAAUAAUCUAUUCCACUGAGGAGAUGUUUACAGGAGUAGAGAGAAGCAAGUUAAAUUGAAAGGAUUCUUCUGUUUGAUUUUUUUUUUUCACUGAAUCUUCUUUAGAUGGUAACCAAUUACAUCCUUUCAGGCAGGAAACAACUCAGUCAUAAGUGAUUCUACAUGACUUUUGUCUGGAGAAAGUGUUGUGGUAGCCAUUGGCUACUGGAAAUGAAGUUGUGUGCAGUGAUAAUAGAUUUGUUGGGUUCAUAAGCUCUUUCACCUCUUGGAAAGAAAGAGAUAGGUGAAAGUAAGUACUCCAGAUCUCCAGAUGUCUUGACACCAUAUUACAUCAGAUGAGUGAUGGGCUAGAAUUAUUUUUCAGUGAUGGUCUUUGCAGCAGCAAACAUCAAGUUGUCCCAGAUGCUAUCCCUUUAUACUCCUUUGGAGCUCUUCUAAAAAAAUUAAUCUCCUCUCUCUAGAACGGGAGACGUCUGAGGUGUUGAUUAAGAAACUAAAAGGAAGGAUUCCUCACUAUGUCUGAAUGCUCCUUCUCAUCAUUUAAAAGAAGUCAGAGGUAAAUACUACAUGUCUACCUGUUUACUUACAGGUGUUUGAAACUUCCCUUUCUCUUUAGAGUGUUGCAAUGAGAAGCCAUAACAAAAUAAAACUCGGGGAAAAAAAACAAAAACGACAGUGUAAGUAGUACUAUUUUAGAUGACAUUAGAGUACAGGGCAAGGGAAUGAAAUAAAUAAAGUUUGAGGACUGAAAAUCUGAACCUCUCCUUGCAGGCUGUGUGAGUCCAGGAACUAAUAAACAUCUUUUGAUCAUCUGGACACCAGGAAAGUUCAUGCAUAACCUGAAGGUUCAUAAAUUAUAAAAGAUAUUUUCUUAAGCUGAUUUUAAUGAAGAACAAGAGCUUUUAUAGGUUAGACUUUGAAUGGGAAAAGGUUAAUGUAGACAGUAAUUACUGAUCUGUGAAUACUGCUGGAAAUACUGUACUAUUCUGCAUGCUUAUUUGGGCUACUUCUAUGUAGGAAAAUAAUUCAACGCUUUUAUGGAAUCACUAUAAUAUUCAGAAACACAAACACAUGUUUGCUGGGUCUGGUGGUUAUGUAAGGAGGCACUUAAAAUAAUCCAGAAGAAUGGUGAAAAGGGCUUUUUCCAUUCUUCAUAAAUGUCAGCACUGUAAAAGGGGAUACGAAUAUAAAAAAUUUGUUUAAUGCAAUUCUUUGCUGCAAGUGGUAGAUUUCUACCUUCAGAAAGUGUCAGCUUUGUAGAAAAGGCUCUGAGAGACCUUGGGGACAAUCAGCUGACAUCAAGUCUGUAGUGUGCCCUUGCAGCAAUGAGGCCAGUUUUACUUGAGCAGUAUUAUAAGGAGCAUAGGAAGCAGCUAAAGAGAAAAUCUUUCUUGAUGGAUGAUGGCUAUAUUUAAAUAUCAUGCACUGAUCAACAAGUCUUCUUAAAAAAGUAGUGGUCUGUCCAUAGAAUAUUGAUCCAGUAGCAAGAUAAUUGUUGACUAAUUUCUCGUUUUCUUCUAGUUGAUAAUAAUACAGAAAAUUCAGUGCACCUGAGUGCAAUAUGAGCAUCUUUAUUGAAUUCAUUCUUCAUGCAAGUCCUUCUAAAAAUCAAAAGUGUGUUCUAUACAGUGUCAUAUUACUGAGGUGUAUUUGGAGAAAUUAUUAAGUGGGAAAAGUAUGAUUUUUUUCUAUGCUAUACCCCUACUCAUGUUUGUUGAAAUCUAAAAUGAAUGUAAUCUCAAUGUUAAGAAAAUUAUGUAUCUAAAUUAUAUGUGUACUUAAUAUUACUUGAAGCGAUGAGCCUAGUUUAAGGAAAAGUUUUCUUCAGGUUUAACCAUUACACUGAACCAGAAGCAUGAUUCAGAACCUUUAAUCACUGAGCAUUCUCUGGUUUUGUAAAGAUUUUAAAUUUCAAGGUUAGUCACCUUGUACAAGCGACACACUGCCACGUGAUUUGCCAUUGUUUUUACAGAAGCUGCAGGCAAGAAUCAGUUUUUCAUGUUUUGUCAGGCAGCUGCAGUUCCACAUCCCAAUACCUGCUGUCUUAACCACGCCUCUACUCCCUUGUCCACCAAUAUAGUAUCACACAGUUGUCCCAUUUUAAGGAAAGUAAAGGAAAUACUGUAUAACACCCUACUUUUAUUCUAAUCCCAAUGAUUUUAGGAUGACAGGGAAAAGGCCCAUUUGCAUAGCAGCAGCUAUUUCAUUUGUGUUUUUACUUAACUUGCUUAGAACUUUUAAAGUGAACAUCAGUAACUGUGUUGAUUUGUUACGGAAGAAACAGCAUAGAAUUGUGCUAACUGAUGAUCAUGAAUAUUCAUAAGGUAAAGCUGGAUAAUAAAGUUUGAGUGCAAGUGGUGAAGAACUGGGAGAAGAUAAUAAAACAGGACAUUACUGACUUUUCUCAGUACUCAAUCCUAAAAAGCACUAAUACAAGGCGCUUAGGUCCUUAGAUAUAGAACUAUAAAACUUUGAGAAACUUUAAAGAAAUAUACGUAUUUAACUACCUAUAGACAUAAGAAUAGAUGAUGGUUGCUGCAUUCUCUAUGCUACUGAUUGUGAUUUCCUGCUUUAUAAAAAGCCUGCUCAAACUUUCAGCACAGGCAGAACAGAGUAGGGGCACUAUAGAAAGUGCACUUUUAAUAGAGUUUCUUGGAGAAAUCGUGGUGGUGAGUGAUAAGUGCCAAAAGAGAGGAGGGUAUGGGUGGAACAUAGUGGAAGUCUAAUUAAAAUUCUGUGGAUUUUUAUUGGAAGAUCCUUGCUUUGCCAGAGCAAUAGUUGCUCUCAGUGCCUGAUAUUCUCUGGGCUUUCUUUGUUGCCUUUCUUAAUGCUCUCUUUGGUUCAAGUCUAGGUGACUGUUUGGAAAGACAGAAUCUUGAUUUGGCCCAAACAGUCUGAUGUGCUCCUUUGCAAAAUCAGCUAUACCUGGAGAUUAUUUUGCUUGAGUUCCCUGCAACUACAAGAAAAUUUUUAGCUACCUCUGGACAAAUAACUUGUCCCAUCCCCGUUCAGAGGAAAACUGCAUUUUUUUUUCUAUGAGAAUGUGUCCCCUCUGGGCCAUAGGAAAAGUCUUUUCAAUUGGUAGGGAAUGCUGACUGAAAACUGGAAGCUCUGUUAAAAUUGCCAAGCUUUGACAUUUGUUCUUUAUUCUACAUUGAGAUGAAUUAAGACCAUGCAAAUUAUGUUUGUGAAAACAUCACAAAAAGCAACAAUGAUAUAGCUGCUGGGAGCUCGAGGUUUGAGAUGCUGUGCUUCCUGAUUCAUUUACACGUUGGGCAGCGUUCCAAAUCACUUUUCAUUUGUUUGAUUGAUAUUUUAAGUGUUGCAAAUGAAGCAGAAUACCAAUAUCUUAGUGAUUAGGAUUUCCACCAGAGGCAUGGGAGACAGAUAUUUGUCACUUUCCUGUGUAAAUACUUGCUGUGGCUGGGAGUCCCCAUCAUUCCAGUGCAGUUUUGCUCCGUGUAACACGGUAUGCUUCUAAACACAAAUGCUUCAGAGGAUUGUUAUCGUUUAAUCCCAGCAGGCAGCUCAGGACCAUGCAUCUCACUCUCCUCAGAUAAGAUGGGAGAGAGCAUCAGGAAAGUGAAAGCAGGAGAACUCGUGGGUUGAAAGAACAACUGCCCACUAAGUAAAGCAAAAACCAUGUGAGCAGGUAAAGCCAACGAGGAAUUCAUUCACUAUUUCCCAUCAGAGGCAGCUGUUCAGUCCCUCCCAAAAGACUAGGGCUCAGCAUGCAUAGUGAUUUCCUGGGAAGACAAAUGCCAUCAGCUGCGAUAUUCCACCUUCCUUCUUCUUUCCCUCAGCUGUUACUGCUGAUCAUGAAGCCCUACGGUAUGAGAUAUCCCUUUGGUCAGUCUGGAUCAGCUGUCCACAUCCCCUCCCAGCUCUCUGUGCAUCCGUAUUUUUUUAAAAAACCUUGAUUUGGAAAAAGUAUCAGUGUAUUGUAAUAUUGAAGAGCAGUACAGCUUACCAUGAGCGCUUUGGAAAGCUUUACAGACAGGCACUGAACCUUUCAGCAGGAAGAUAUUGGGAAUGGUUUUGAUUACACUGCCCCGUACUGCAAAACAUACAAGGAGGGGGGAGUUCAUUUAAGAUGGAAUGAAGAUUGAACUACCAUGUAUCUUUUAACAUGCUACAAAUUAAGAACUGAACUUAUUUACUUCAGUGUGCAAGGGACACUGCGUGUCUUUGCAAACACAUAGAAACUUGAUGUGCCUGCAAGCAAACGUUUGGAAGGUAAGAAUAAUGAUACCAAUUCACUCCUAUAGACUGUAGACAUAAUUGAAUCCUCUGAGAAAUUAAGUAUACAAACACUGACAUAUAAAAAGCUAGAUAGAUUUGCUUGAAUCAGGACAGCCAACACAUAAAAAACAGCAGUAUCUAUCUACUUAAAGGGAGAGUGUUAGAAAGAGAGAAUCCAAUCAACAUAAAAGACAUGAGAUAAUACAAGAGUGACCUUUUCAAGUUAAGUUCCUGUAUUUUUCCUAAAUUAUUCUUUUUAUCAAAUGUUUCUAAUAAGUCCAUUCACCCAGACUAGAUGGGCUACUCUAGCAGUAAGAUGUUAUCCCCUGUGCUGUGACAAAGUCAGAAUGUAGACCUGAUGAAAUUGGCAGUAUCUCAUUUAGCUCAUGUUUGGAGAAAGAGAAGGUUAAAUACCAGUGUGUAGAGGCUUCCAUGGUGCAGUCUCAAUUUGGUCCCUCUUUUAUGACUCUUUUUCAUAUAUGCAACUUUGUGCUUUUUGUCAAAGAAUAUUUUGGUAACAGUAAUUAUCCAUUAGAAGAUUUAUCUCUGCUUCACAUUCAAGAGCUUUCAUGGCAUCCGUAGUUGAAUAAUUUUGAUACUGAUGGCUACUUGGUGGUUUUGGACUGAGUAAUUAUACAUCCACAGGGAGAGAAAGGCAUGCUGCCAAAGCAUUUCAAGUGCUAUCUCAGCAAUGCAAAAGACUUGGCAUUUCCCUCUGUCAUUUUUCAUUCUCAAAGUGCUAUAAACAUAUGCUGAAGAAAAUAUUUCAAGUACCUGGGAAGAGUAGCCCAGUACACUAUCAGCUCAACUCUUCUGGACAUUCUUAUUUAUUUUGCUAAAUGAAGGCAUCUUUAGAAACUAGUUAUCACAGAAGGAAUUAUUAUCCUUUUCGUUACUGUUGCACAGAUGUACUGUAUUUCUCCAUCGUCUCUUUUUUAGUAAUCAGAAUAAGACAGGUAAUCCUCCUGCUCUUUCCCCACUAGGUCACAUAGCAGAUACUGUAUGAACUGCUAUAUUUUCUGAGAACAAAUUUUGAAAUCUGGUCUUCAGUUUUCGGUUUUCUUAAUCUGUCCUCAUGUUUAAUCCAGGGAACAGGAUGAGGAAAGAGAUGAGUAUACUGUUGCAGUUUAGUACCAGUGUUCCCAUCGACUCGGUAAGUUACUGAAUUCCUGGAAUAGCCAUGCUUUACAUAUAUCCUCCACCAUCUGGAGUGUGGGUGGAAGGCAUGCUUGAACUAAAGGUGUUAAAAUUACACUAUUAAUGGUUUUGGAUGAUGUUGUCCUUAGGAGAACAAAAAGAACUUCAGCCAGUUAAUUAUUUUAUCUGCAGAAAGUAACAAAGGGACUUAAUUCAGCAGGAGUGCGGGUGUUCAUGUGUGUGUGCAUCUAUGUAGUCACAGAAAAAGAAUGCUUCAUUACAAUGAUAACAGGGGUGAUUUGAAUUAUUUGUUUGGUAUCUUUAUUUUUCCAUGUUUGCCGAGACAGACAAUUUCUCAGCUUCCUGUCAUGCUUCCUUCACUGAUCCAGACACUGGAGCAGUCUGUAAAAGGAUUCUACGGUUUACAGUCUUUUCAUUUCGUAAUUAUUUUACUUAGAAAUCAUUUUUAAGAUAAAAAUAAAUUAUUUUUUUACAGAUGUUUUCUGAAUCUGAAUUCUACAACAUGGUGUGGAUUCAGCAAGAAAUGUCCCGAGAAAUGGUGGAUCAGAAGAUAGAAAAUGGCAGUGACAUCCACCUUUGUGCCAGGCACAGUGCCGGUACUCCAGAGCCACACAACAACUGUCUCCAACCUCACAUUCGUGCUUGUAAUUCCAGACACGCUUAAUGACGUAUAUCAAUGGUUCCUCCCCCAUACAAUGUUAAAAAAAACUUCCACUUGUAUUUUCAAUUAUGUUAUUUUUCACUUAGACAUGUCUGAAACUUCAGCAACAACAAAUCUUUAACUUAUUCCCUUCUUUUUACUUCGGGUUGAUUUUGUUACUGGUUUUUGUUUGUUUGUUUGUUUUUCUUUUUCUGUCUUCACAACAUACUGCAGGUUUGAGUCUCUCAGAGCCAGAAAGAAAUCGGUAUCAAGACGUGCUAAGAAUGUAUUGUAGUUACUAAGGAAGUGGUUUCCCAAGCAACAGUAACCACAAGAAAUUUGACAGAAUUUCUUCCUUUGCUACUAUAUCAUGUUUGAAGAUUUCAAAGAGCCAGGAUGUGGGUAGCAUAAGUGAUUUUGUCCUUGUUAAACAGAAGCAGAUACAGUAAUGUCCUUGUCCUUACUAAAGAAAGGGUUAAAUUCAGUAAGUUACAAUUUUCCUGGUAGCAGAAAAAAAUGUGGAUGUGCCAAAUAGUCCUGCAGCAUGUGGGCAGAUGCUAGAGGCAACAUUCUCAGUUGUUACAUACUCAGUGGUGAUAUUUACCAUUCAAGAAAGCCAUGCCAACACUUUGGUUUGCUCCAGACACUGGAAGAGACAUUUACCAGCUUGAUGAUGUCAAAAAGUGUAGGAAACUUGCACUUGCUUGAUAUUAGUAGAAGGAUCAGAACCAAAGGUAAUGAAGUUGCAUUGUCCUAACUUCUCUGCAGUGGUGUAAACAAAAUGGAGUCAGCUGGGCAUCAAUCAAAGAAUGCAGUGUCAUUGCUAUUCUGUUUUGAUCAAGAAAUGAAAAUAACACAGUAGAUGUUGCCCUCUGAAAGUGAAUUUAAUGCUUGUUCUUAGAAGGGAAUUGGAAACAACAGGUUCUAUGGGUUAACAAGCAGUGCAAUUUAAUAUGUUUUCUCGAUAGAAAAUGUGAAUAAUUCCUACCUGCUUCUGUGCGCUGAGGUUUAUUGAGUGGUAAGGCACCACAGAGGCACUGUUAAUAAAGAGCUCAAUCCAGCAAGACAAAGAAAGAGAUGACUCAUUUUUCAUUUGAGUUUCAGGUACUAAGAAAAUCAAAAUUUCUUUCAAAAAUUUGUCUUUAAGAAGUGAUUCUUUAUAUCCACUUCAUGUUUAUGGUGAAAUUUAAAAAAGAAAAUGUGGUGGUGUGCAUGUGAGCCAAAUCCCAAGGGAAGGUAUGUAUUGAAGGAGGUGUGUUUCCAUAUGUUAUUAAGGUUCGUGCUUUGUAGGUACACUUACAUCUUUUCUGAAAACUUAGAUUUCUGCUUUGACCAGAGUAAGAAUUUUUUUACAAUUGUACAAACUCCUACUUAUCUUCUGGAUUGCAGGUCACCAUGCAUAAUGAAACAUUUGAGCUACGGAACCUUUUAAAGUAUACGAAGAAACAAUUAUGUGUAUUAUGAAACUGUUCAGCAGUAUGGAUUGGGGCCAGCUCUGUGCAUUCCCAGAUGUAAUGGACAUAAUUGCAGGUCUCCAAGCACAGACACUGAAGUGAAUGACUGAGGGGAUUUGGGGGCUUCACUGGCUCUGGAUCUGUAUCAGCAGUGCCAGAAACAAACUGGCUCAUUAAAAGCUUUAAUCUUAUUUCACUUAUUACCCUUUCACUUAUUUCUACCUUUGUGAACUGCUUCAUGCAAAGAACUGCCUUUUUAAACCAUCUCUCAAACCCUCUUCAAGUUGCAGAACUAAUAUUCUUAGCUAACAAGCUCUUAGUUAAGUAAGUGGUUAGAAAACUUCUAAGUCCUUCAGAAGGCUUCCUUCCAACACAUCCUCCGUAGACAUACUAAUGUGUUUGUAUUUCUGUGAUGCAUUAAGACAUCUAAAAGAAUACUGCUUGUAGGCAGGUAAAUGCUAUAAUUAGAAAAAAACAAGUUGAGUCUCCAAAUAAAGUCAUCUGUUUCUUUUAAAAAUACAGUAGAUGCACUAUAAUGUAGGAACUUAAUUUAUUUAAAUAAAGUUUGUUUGUAUUCAUGCACAGAACCCAACUAAAUCAAAUGUCUGCAGCUUUUGUGCAUGCUUGCAUUUUAAGCAGUUGCAUCUAAUCAGAAUAGUUAUCAUUUUAAUAGAGCUGGCGCACAUUAAAAAGAGCAUGGAUGGGGGGAUGUUACCCUCCCCCUCUACUCUGCCCUGCUGAGGCCACAUGUAGAGUACUACGUCCGGUUCUAGACUCCUCAGUUCAAGAAAGACAGAGAGAGUCCAACAAAGGGUCAUAAAGAUGAUGGGGAACCUGGAGCAUCUCCCUUCUGAGGAAAGGCUGAGAGACCUGUGACUGUUCAGCCCAGAGAAGACUGAGAAGGAAUCUUACCAAUGCCUAUGGAUAUCUGAAGUGUGGAAGUAAGGUGGAUGGGGCCAGGCUCUUUUCAGUGGUGCCCAGUGACAGGACAAGGGGCAAAGGGCACAAACUGGAACACUAGAAGUUCCAUAUGAACUUGAGGAAAAACCUCUUUGAAAGUGACAGAGCACUGGAACAGGCUGCCUGGAGAGAUUGUGGAGUCUCCUUCUCUGGAGAUAUGCAUAUCUGCCUGGACGCCUUCCUGUAUGACCUACUGUAGGGAACUUGUUUUAUCAAGGGUGGGACUAGAAGAUGUCCAGAUGAUCUCCAGCCACAGUGAAUCUGUGAUUCUGUGUAUCACUUUAUUUAUUCAGUUUUUUUUCUUUUUCAGAGAAAGCUGCCUCUGCCCUCGAAGGCCUCUCAUUUUACCAGGAUGUAUGCAGUGGACACAGACCUGAUAAGAAAUUAUGAGGUUGCAGUUUCUACUGGAAUAAGAGUUCAAUGCAGUCACUUACCCAGACUUCACUUCAUCAUGUCUGAGCACUUACAGCUAUAACUUGUGAUCUUUCUGGUUUAUUUGGAGGCACAGCAAGCCAGCUCCUGUACACAGAGGCAUCCUUAUAUGCUUUCUAAUGUGAUGCUGCUGCGUGGGAUAUUGAGAUCACAGUGAAGGUCGCAGUGCAAAUAUUUACAUACAGGCAAGUCUUAGUGUAUGACUCUCUGGAGACCCCUACAUAAAGGCUGUGAAUCUGAUUAGAUUCCAAAAUGGAAGAGCAAGACAUCUUGUUUUUGUCCAUACUCUUGAAAAUGUUAUCCUAACCCUCAAGAACAUUAAGAACAGUAAGGCUAUGAAGAGAUGGAGAAGAACAACUGAAGUUCCAUAACAAGCCAAAACUAACUGUGGACCAGGACACCUCAUUCUAGGAACAUGUAUAAAACAACAGUCCGUGUCCAGGCAAGUCUGAUGAAGGAGCCACUGAUCUUCUAGACGAGACUAGGAGUCAUCUUCAGUAGCCUAAGCCAGGAAAUGGCCUCUGGAUGGGUGGCUACUCAAGUGGAGAACACUAUGAAUAUGCAGAGAGCCCAUGGGGAAUACAGAGAGAGACUGAUCAGCAAAGAAAUCUGCUUAAGGUGUCAGAAAGCUUAUGAAAAAAAGG
ensembl:lncRNA